rnacentral:rRNA from 1 species
GUCCCACGUUCGGAUCGCAGGCUGCAACCCGCCCUGCGUGAAGUCGGAAUCGCUAGUAAUCGCGGAUCAGCAUGCCGCGGUGAAUACGUUCCCGGGCCUUGUACACACCGCCCGUCAAGCCAUGGGAGCCGGGGGUACCUGAAGUGCGUAACCGCGAGGAUCGCCCUAGGGUAAAACUGGUGACUGGGGCUAAGUCGUAACAAGGUAAC